rnacentral:lncRNA from 1 species
GAGGCUCUGAUGCUGAUCAGUAAUGUCAUUGAUUUCUAGGUGUUACCUAUGUCAUUUUAAAAACAUAAAUUUUUUCAGAACGUAGUUGACUUAGAAAGUUGUGUUGGUUUCAGGUGUACAGCCAGGUAAAUCUGUAACACAUACAUAUGUCUGUUCCUUUUCAGAUUCUUUUUCCGCAUAGGUCAUUACACUGUAUUGAGUAGAUUACUCUGCAAGUACAGUAGGUCCUUGUUACCUAUUUUAUAUAUAGCAGUAUGUGUAUGUCAGUCCCAACCCCCUCACUCAUCCUCCUGCCCCACAUUUCCCCUUUGGUAACCAUAAAAUUGGUUUCAAAAUCUUGGAGUCUGUUUCUGUUUUGUAAGUUCUCUUGCAUCAUUUUUUUUUGUUGUUGUUAGAUUUCACAUAUUAGUGAUCUAUAUUUGUCUUUUUCUGUCAUUUUAAUUUCUUCCUGUUACCAGGUGCCUUUGUACCUAAGAGACAGUCAUGAACAGAAUUUGCAAUGGAAAUACACUGGAGGAAACACACUGGAGGAAAAUACACAUUCUCUGAAAUUUGAAGCCAAAGAAAAGCUUCCAGAGAAAGAAAAUGAGAAAGUCUCAAGAAUUAAAUGGAGUUGUCAUAAAAAAAGAGAGAAGGGCAGAAAGAGAGACAUUCUGCAAGUACAAGAAACUAAACCCUGGUAGGAAAAGGUUAAGAUCUCAAGGAAGACAAGACUUGGGCCAAGGCAGAUUGAGGGGAGAUGUCAAUACUCAGAGAAACCACAGCCACAGAAUUAUAAGGACUUGAAGAUAUGACUUUGUAUGACAUUUACCUGGAUUUACCCUUCUGUCAAAGUGACUGCAGUGAUCUGAUUUCACAAAGGUAAGGUUGAUCCGUGUUACAUCCUAAGUCAUAGUAAAGUGAGAGGAAGGAGAAAC